rnacentral:rRNA from 1 species
UUCCGCGCGACCCGGUCAGUCGGGACUACGCCGCGAGUAGGG